rnacentral:rRNA from 1 species
CAGUCGCCGCGGUAAUACAGAGGGUGCAAGCGUUAAUCGGAAUUACUGGGCGUAAAGUGCGCGUAGGUGGUUUGUUAAGUUGGAUGUGAAAUCCCCGGGCUCAACCUGGGAACUGCAUCCAAAACUGGCAAGCUAGAGUAUGGUAGAGGGUGGUGGAAUUUCCUGUGUAGCGGUGAAAUGCGUAGAUAUAGGAAGGAACACCAGUGGCGAAGGCGACCACCUGGACUGAUACUGACACUGAGGUGCGAAAGCGUGGGGAGCAAACAGGAUUAGAGACCCCAGUAGUCCCUGUCUCUUAUAC